rnacentral:antisense_RNA from 1 species
CUUCAUGGCGGAUCGCGCGGGGAGACCCUCGUGGUCUGCCGGUCUCUUGUCCCGGUCUGUCAACCCCGCGCGAUUCGCCACCCUU